GAGUAACACGUGGGUAACCUGCCUGUAAGACUGGGAUAACUCCGGGAAACCGGGGCUAAUACCGGAUGGUUGUUUGAACCGCAUGGUUCAAACAUAAAAGGUGGCUUCGGCUACCACUUACAGAUGGACCCGCGGCGCAUUAGCUAGUUGGUGAGGUAACGGCUCACCAAGGCGACGAUGCGUAGCCGACCUGAGAGGGUGAUCGGCCACACUGGGACUGAGACACGGCCCAGACUCCUACGGGAGGCAGCAGUAGGGAAUCUUCCGCAAUGGACGAAAGUCUGACGGAGCAACGCCGCGUGAGUGAUGAAGGUUUUCGGAUCGUAAAGCUCUGUUGUUAGGGAAGAACAAGUACCGUUCGAAUAGGGCGGUACCUUGACGGUACCUAACCAGAAAGCCACGGCUAACUACGUGCCAGCAGCCGCGGUAAUACGUAGGUGGCAAGCGUUGUCCGGAAUUAUUGGGCGUAAAGGGCUCGCAGGCGGUUUCUUAAGUCUGAUGUGAAAGCCCCCGGCUCAACCGGGGAGGGUCAUUGGAAACUGGGGAACUUGAGUGCAGAAGAGGAGAGUGGAAUUCCACGUGUAGCGGUGAAAUGCGUAGAGAUGUGGAGGAACACCAGUGGCGAAGGCGACUCUCUGGUCUGUAACUGACGCU
rnacentral:rRNA from 1 species